GCCACGGACCACGACAGCGAUUCGCCAAGGGAAAACACGGCCUUCCUCGCUUUUUGUCUUAUUCCGGUUAAGGGAGAGUGCUGAGACAGACAAGAGUCGGUGGCGCGCAGUGAAAGCAGAAACCUUUAAGAGGAGCACAGCCAAAUGGGGACGUGAGAGCGAAUGCUCAAUACGACUGUGAAAAGGAAAACCUCGGAAAGAAGAAGCGUCAGAUCGGUGCUUUGGCCGUGGGGUGGGGUGUAGACAGCAGAGUGGCGUGAUAGAAAUAGCCCAUGUGUCAAUGGGAGCCAUAGUAGCCAGCGAGGAGUUCUUAGGUUUGCAAGCCUUCCAUCGAUGUGUGCCCUUACACCAUGCACGUCGGAGGCAUGCCAAUGAAUAUCUGCAAACGUGGUAAAGUGCAAAAGCAUGGGGGUAAAACCAGGAAUUGUUCAAAGAGAAAAAGUGGCCAAAGAAGAGACUCGAGGGGCUAACAAAUCCCUCACAAGUCUGUCUACCGGACCACAGCGGCAAACGGUUGAAACGUGUAGGACACUGCAGCAAGAGCCAAAGAGGCCUUCAAUACACGGAGCAUCCCUCAGACAACCCAGUGCGCUCAUCCGAGGGGCUCGGAUGACCAGCACUCUCACCCAUUUGGACCUUUGCACCAUUGCGUGUUUUCCUGCUAUAGGAAAAAUAAAGCCUGCACAGAGAAACAUCUGUGUGUGCGUGUGUGUGUUAGUGUGUGUGUGUCUUCAUUUCUUCGUUUUCGUCCUAGCCUGGACCGGACUGCAAAGACAGCUGUAUUUGGGGCGAAUUUUCCCCAGAGACUGCCUUUCUUCGAGGUGAACGCUUAAAAACCCCCCUGGACCCAAGCCCUUACCUCGGAUGAGCGCACUGGGUUGUCUGAGGGAUGCUCCGUGUAUUGAAGGCCUCUUUGGCUCUUGCUGCAGUGUCCUACACGUUUCAACCGUUUGCCGCUGUGGUCCGGUAGACAGACUUGUGAGGGAUUUGUUAGCCCCUCGAGUCUCUUCUUUGGCCACUUUUUCUCUUUGAACAAUUCCUGGUUUUACCCCCAUGCUUUUGCACUUUACCACGUUUGCAGAUAUUCAUUGGCAUGCCUCCGACGAGCAUGGUGUAAGGGCACACAUCGAUGGAAGGCUUGCAAACCUAAGAACUCCUCGCUGGCUACUAUGGCUCCCAUUGACACAUGGGCUAUUUCUAUCACGCCACUCUGCUGUCUACACCCCACCCCACGGCCAAAGCACCGAUCUGACGCUUCUUCUUUCCGAGGUUUUCCUUUUCACAGUCGUAUUGAGCAUUCGCUCUCACGUCCCCAUUUGGCUGUGCUCCUCUUAAAGGUUUCUGCUUUCACUGCGCGCCACCGACUCUUGUCUGUCUCAGCACUCUCCCUUAACCGGAAUAAGACAAAAAGCGAGGAAGGCCGUGUUUUCCCUUUCGAAUCGCUGUCGUGGUCCGUGGCGGUGAAAGUACAGAUCUGCUUUUCUUCUUGCUUUGGGGACCUCUCUGAAAUAGGUGUCCUCCCAUGUGAGAU
rnacentral:lncRNA from 1 species